rnacentral:rRNA from 1 species
UACAGAGGUCCCAAGCGUUGUUCGGGUUCACUGGGCGUAAAGGGUGCGUAGGCGGUCGGGUAAGUCUGAUGUGAAAUCUCACAGCUUAACUGUGAAACUGCAUUGGAUACUAUCCGGCUCGAGGAAUGGAGGGGAGAUUGGAAUACUUGGUGUAGCAGUGAAAUGCGUAGAUAUCAAGUGGAACACCAGUGGCGAAGGCGAGUCUCUGGACAUUUCCUGACGCUGAGGCACGAAAGCCAGGGGAGCAAACGGG